GGUUGGUCCAAGUGCAGUGGUUUUUACAACUAAUUGAUCACAACCAACAUUACAGAUUCCUUUGUUCUUUCUCUACUCCCACUGCUUCACUUGACCAGCCUUGA
rnacentral:Y_RNA from 1 species